GACGAACGCUGGCGGCGUGCUUAACACAUGCAAGUCGAACGGAAAGGCCCUGCUUUUGUGGGGUGCUCGAGUGGCGAACGGGUGAGUAACACGUGAGUAACCUGCCCUUGACUUUGGGAUAACUUCAGGAAACUGGGGCUAAUACCGGAUAGGAGCUCCUGCUGCAUGGUGGGGGUUGGAAAGUUUCGGCGGUUGGGGAUGGACUCGCGGCUUAUCAGCUUGUUGGUGGGGUAGUGGCUUACCAAGGCUUUGACGGGCAGCCGGCCUGAGAGGGUGACCGGCCACAUUGGGACUGAGAUACGGCCCAGACUCCUACGGGAGGCAGCAGUGGGGAAUAUUGCACAAGGGGCGGAAGCCUGAUGCAGCAACGCCGCGUGCGGGAUGACGGCCUUCGGGUGGUAAACCGCUUUCGCCUGUGACGAAGCGUGAGGGACGGUAAUGGGUAAAGAAACACCGGCUAACUACGU
rnacentral:rRNA from 1 species